rnacentral:tRNA from 3 species
GCGCUCAUAGCUCAGCUGGAUAGAGCAACGCCCUUCUAAGGCGUAGGCCAGAGGUUCGAAUCCUCUUGAGCGUACCA